rnacentral:rRNA from 1 species
AUUCCGGUUGAUCCUGCCGGAGGACAUUGCUAUUGGGAUUCGAUUUAGCCAUGCUAGUCGAGCGAGUUUAGACUCGCGGCGAAUAGCUCAGUAACACGUGGCCAAGCUCCCCUUCAGUCAGCGAUACCCUCGGGAAACUGAGGUUAACAGCUGAUACAAAACGCCAGCCGGAAUGCGGCGUUCCAGAAAGACAUCGCUGAAGGAUGCGGCUGCGGCCGAUUAGGUUGACGGUGGGGUAACGGCCCACCGUGCCAGUAAUCGGUACGGGUGAUGAGAGUCAGAGCCCGGAGACGGAAUCUGAGACAAGAUUCCGGGCCCUACGGGGCGCAGCAGGCGCGAAACCUUUACACUGCACGGAAGUGCGAUAGGGGAAUCCCAAGUGCGAGGGCAUAUUAGCCCUCGCUUUUCUCGACUGUAAGGUGGUCGACGAAUAAGAGCUGGGCAAGACCGGUGCCAGCCGCCGCGGUAAUACCGGCAGCUCAAGUGAUGUCCCAUAUUAUUGGGCCUAAAGCGUCCGUAGCUG